AGUGAACGCUGGCGGUAGGCCUAACACAUGCAAGUCGAACGGCAGCACAGUAAGAGCUUGCUCUUACGGGUGGCGAGUGGCGGACGGGUGAGGAAUACAUCGGAAUCUACUUUUUCGUGGGGGAUAACGUAGGGAAACUUACGCUAAUACCGCAUACGACCUACGGGUGAAAGCAGGGGAUCUUCGGACCUUGCGCGAUUGAAUGAGCCGAUGUCGGAUUAGCUAGUUGGCGGGGUAAAGGCCCACCAAGGCGACGAUCCGUAGCUGGUCUGAGAGGAUGAUCAGCCACACUGGAACUGAGACACGGUCCAGACUCCUACGGGAGGAAGCAGUGGGGAAUAUUGGACAAUGGGCGCAAGCCUGAUCCAGACAUACCGCGUGGGUGAAGAAGGCCUUCGGGUUGUAAAGCCCUUUUGUUGGGAAAGAAAAGCAGCAGGUUAAUACCCCGCUGUUCUGACGGUACCCAAAGAAUAAGCACCGGCUAACUUCGUG
rnacentral:rRNA from 1 species